rnacentral:tRNA from 1 species
ACCUGAUUGGCUCAGAUGGUUAAGCGCCUGACUUUAGCUCAGGUCACGAUCUCACAGUUUGUGAGUUGGAGUCCCACAUCAGGUU